AGCUGUAGCUCACGAAAGCUCAUGCUCAAAUAAAUUGGUUAGUCUCUAAGGUGCCACAAGUACUCCUUUUCUUUUUGCGAAUACAGACUAACACGGCUGUUACUCUGAAACCUGUUUUUAUUUGGUUUUGAGAAUGAUAUAACGAUGUAGAGGUAACGUGAAACAGGUCUGAUGUGACAUUUUAUAAACAAACUGGGCACAAGUGAGAAAUGUGAAAGCUGAGAUGUGGUUGUUAUGACAACCAAAUUAGAAGCAGUUCUUAUUGGACAUAAGUGAAGUGAUAACAUGAAAGUUAUUUUCAUUCUUUAAAGAAAAAGGUCAUAGUUGUACAGCGUAGCAUUUUACUCUGGCUGUUUUUUCAAAAUCCCACUAUUAAUAAGAGUAAUGCCAUUGGAUAUCCUACAUACAUUCAGCUAGAAUUGUUAAGAAAAGAUUGAAAGAACACGAAUACCAGGACAGUGUUUUCUGUAUAUAAGGAAGGCAAAUAUUAUUCUUAUUUUAAGGAUAAAGAAAUGAAGGUUCAGACAGGCCAAAUGAUUCACCCAGUUUCAUUCAGGACAUCUGUAAAAGAGCUAAGAAGAACUCAGAAGCCCUGUCCAUCCUCCCUUGGCUGCAGUAUUUUAAACAAUGCCCAGAAGAUGGACAUUAGCAGCUGUCUGGAACAAUACAGCAUUGCAUUUAAAUAAAUUUAAAAUAAUAGUAUUUGAUGGACUUGAUAAGAAUUGCUGUUCCAUUUUCUAUUUAAACAUUCCAUGAGUAGUUAAGUACUUUCCUUACUUACUUACUUUUUUCAUUAGUUAUGUAGAGAGCAUGGAAGAACAAACAGCACUUUGAAAAAUGUCACAGUAUAUAAAUAGCACUUCUGAGAACAUUAGUAAAGUUCUACUGAACUGCAAAACCAACAAGUUAGUGGUGAACUGUGAAGAUGCAGGCAAGAGAAGAACAUGUGAAAAUCAAGGCAAAAGGGCGAUCAAAUUACUUCUGUAAAGAACUGCAAUGUUGCAGUUCAUGAAAUUUUACCAUGACUUUAUUGCGAGGCUGAAUAUUUUUCGUAAAACCCCAGCUCCUGUCAUUAAAUGAUUUUGUGAGAAUCUCAGUUUUCUCUUUUUCAUUUUAGCCCACUUGGUUGUGAAGAAAAGCUUGAAAGUGUGAUCUGAGUGAGUCUCAGAAAAUUAAAAAGAACUCCCAAGUUUUUUUUUUUAAAGUAUGAUUUUUCAAGCCCAUAAUCUCAUGAUUUUUUUGAGGCUUUAAUGAUUUCUGAAUGCUUGAGGUUGGCAUAUUGGAACUGUAAACCUCAUAAGAAAUAGCACUAGUCUCACUUCAUCUCUCUGGACCCAAUGAAUUUCUUUGAUGACAAAAGGAAGUAUCUCAUCAGAAGUGAAGGAAAAACAUGGCAGCCACGGCCCAGCUGUAUUAUUCACCAUUGAUAUUUGAUAAAUUGAGGAUUGUGUUUAACUAAAACCUCCAGACUUUGCAUGUAAAUAGUUUUCAUUGAGUAGUAGGCUCUACGUAUGUGUGGAAAGUAAAUAUAAAGUUAUUAAAAUGAAUGAGAAAUCACUACUGAGUAUGCUGAGAGGGGCAUCUGCUGAGGUUUACAGCAGAACGUAAAGAAGAUCUGCCCCCUAUGAGAUCUCUCAAUGCAAAGCUUUCCUGACAGGCCCAAGAGCUGCCACUAGGACAGCUUACAGGAAGAGAAUUUGAAGAGUCUCAGGAAGUACAUCACCACAGUGCUCCAAAACAAUGCAAAUUAUGUAUCUUUCCUGCUGUUGAAAAUGCACCUUCUAAUCAUCAGACCCCUUUAAAGUGUUUCAUGUUGAACAUCCAAAAACUGAGGUAUACAAAGCUACUAGUCACUUUUUAAAAUCUUGGCCUGUAUAGUUAAAAACAUAUAUUGAGCCCUGUCUCUUAUCCCUGAACACUUUAUAGAAAUGGCAAUGUAUUGCCUGAAACUCAAAGCUCCUUCCCUUCAAGCAAUAAUUAUCCUGUGAAUCUUCAGCACUCCACUUGUACUGUGAGGGUUGAUAGUCCCCAGCCCUCUGUGUGACAGUCCUAUUUCACUCCUGGUACUUUGCAGCCUUCCAUUCUUGCAGAAUUCAGAACAGUAGAGUGCAUGUUACACCUGAGAAUACAGCAAAACAUCUGGUUUCAUAGUGUUUCUAUUAUUCUCCUAGAGCAGCACAAAUUUCCUGUCUUUUUUUCUCCAUAGUGUGUUUCACUGUCUUUCUAUUACACUGUGUUCCUUCUCUGUGGAAACAACAGACAGUGUAAAACAGUCUAGAAGACUUUUAGGACAAAGUUACAAUGGGUUCUUAUGCUAUAAAGCAAGUAUAGCUUUAAACUAUAGUGGCAGUGAUGUUAUCAGUAAGGUCACAUAACAGUUUCCAUCCUAAACCUGUUUUAAGCCACUCAGAACUUGUGAAAUUUACUUUUCAUGCUAAAAAAUUUCAAGCUUGGAAUUUGCCCUAAAAUGAAUUAUUGAGAAAAAUUUGAACAAAAACCAAUCAUUUGCAUAUGAGCAUAAUUUCAAUACAUAUUUCCUAUUAAAAAAGUAUUUACAGUAAUUUUUGGACAGAUCUACUGUCAAAACAGCUAGGGAUAGAAAGUUAAAAUUGAAAAUUAAAAUAUAUC